rnacentral:rRNA from 1 species
GGCGAAGGGGGCUAGCGUUGUUCGGAAUUACUGGGCGUAAAGCGCGUGUAGGCGGUUGUUCAAGUCGGGUGUGAAAGCCUUGAGCUCAACUCAAGAAAUGCACUCGGUACUGGAUGACUAGAGGACCGGAGAGGAUAGUGGAAUUCCCAGUGUAGUGGUGAAAUACGUAGAGAUUGGGAAGAACACCAGUGGCGAAGGCGGCUAUCUGGACGGUUUCUGACGCUAAGACGCGAAAGCGUGGGGAGCAAACAGG